UACAGAGGGGGCAAGCGUUGUUCGGAAUUACUGGGCGUAAAGGGCGCGUAGGCGGCCUGCUAAGUCGAACGUGAAAUCCCCGGGCUCAACCGGGGAACUGCGUCUGAUACUGGGUGGCUUGAAUUCGGGAGAGGGAUGCGGAAUUCCAGGUGUAGCGGUGAAAUGCGUAGAUAUCUGGAGGAACACCGGUGGCGAAGGCGGCAUCCUGGACCGAGAUUGACGCUGAGGCGCGAAAGCCAGGGGAGCAAACGGG
rnacentral:rRNA from 1 species